CCUUAAAACCCUAAUUAGUUUCAAUCAAACAUAUUAGAACGUACAAUAUUCAAUCCCAAGAAAACCAUUGUAGAAAACCCCCCUUAUACCCAAAGCAGGGUUUUAGCUUCUUCCCCUCAGCAGCCAGCCAAGAAGUAAGAGUUAGUUCUCUCUUGUUCAUAUUCCGAAACCAAGAAGAACAACCUUCAGAAUCUAUCAUUUCUUCUCGUAAUCAAUGGCCUCAAUUGGUGCUCGGUCUGCUUUCCGGUCAUUCUCUGGUUCGGCACGCCGUGCUGCUGCUCACAUCGGUUCUCAACCCAAGCCCUCAUCAACCUCUCCCUUUCGCAUGGCAACUAACAAACCCCUCUCUCAUCCUACUUUCAGGUGUGCGCCUGUGAUGAGCUUCUGUUUGGAGUCAAUGAUGCCAUUUCACUCUGUGUCGUCCUCAGCUUUAAUGACUUCCAUGCUCUCUAUCUCGCGCCAUAGCUGCGGUUGGCUCCCCGAAGGUAGCUAGCACACUUUAUAGGCCAUUGAUGCUUCUUGCCUUCUUGUUGCUCUGGGCGGUGAUGUUUUCUAGCAUGAAGGUUUGCAACUAUGUUGAAUUUGCCAGUGUCAUUGCUUAUCUGUACCUCAAAUUCAGAUUCUUCAUUAGAAAUAUCCUAGUUUUGCCUAGAUUAUCUGAAACUCUAUUUCGUGGCUUUCAAUUGGAUUAUUGAUAUAAUAACCAAAAUCAGAAUCUAGAUGUGAGAACGUCUAGUUAGUGAUUUGCUAAGUUUAAACCAUGAGAAAAAAAUAUUGUUUAUUUGGUUUUUUUGCUCAACCAUGUUCUAAUUUUGUAAUGUAGGAAGUUUAAUGCUGAAAUUGGCCUUCACGAACAUUGAACGAACUAAAGAAAUUGCUCGACAAUUUUAUUGAAA